rnacentral:rRNA from 1 species
UACGUAGGGGGGCUAGCGUUGUCCGGAAUCAUUGGGCGUAAAGCGCGUGUAGGCGGCCCGGUAAGUCCGCUGUGAAAGUCGGGGGGCUCAACCCUCGAAUGCCGGUGGAUACUGUCGGGCUAGAGUACGGAAGAGGCGAGUGGAAUUCCUGGUGUAGCGGUGAAAUGCGCAGAUAUCAGGAGGAACACCAAUGGCGAAGGCAGCUCACUGGGACGGUAUUGACGCUGAGACGCGAAAGCGUGGGGAGCAAACAGG